ensembl:lncRNA
GGCAUGCCCUGGGCGGCCUGGCCGCUCGCUGCCUCCGUGGUGGAGCGCCGCAGCCUGAAUCGUCCCGGGCUGGCCCGGCUGCUGGGCGUCUCCUGGUCCCGGGGCGGGGGUCUGGGGAGGGCGCGGGCAAGUUCAGGCCUCCCUGGGGACCGGCUGUUCCAGUGCAGCCCCGGCUCCCAGCAGAGGGGGUGGGGUGAGGAGGACGCGGAAUCCUGGGCUCGCCAUAGCUUGGGGGCCUUGCAGUUCCUGGCCGCGCCUGCACGGCCUCCCCAGUGGCGCUCCCGGGGUGAAGGAAGGGUGAAAGGGUGAACCGGAGGGACGAGUGCCCAGGCCUGCCGCGUCUCCAGGAGCCUGCCACCGCUGCCUGCAGAGCAGACGGGACCUCGGCACGGGAAGUGCUCCGUGAGGAGGGUGCAAGCUGGCUGAUCUCUUCAGUCCUGAGAUGACCGAGCAAAUGAAGCAGGCCUGAUACCUCUUGAAGUGAAUAUGGAGAGCUCGCACGGGCAUUUCUUCACUGGGACACCACUGAGGGAUUCAUGGACACUUAAGAGGGAACUCCCUAUGGGCUGAGAUUUGACCUGGUUGGAGACCUGGUGUUCUUCUAAAGUCCAAGCAACUCUUGGUGACAUUGGACAUUCCUCCUUCUGUUGGUACCACCAGCUUACUGGAUGGCGCACCAAACUGGAGAGCAGCAAGAGUGGACCUGUGUGGAGAGAGCUUUGGGCAUCUUGAUGCUUGAAAUCUGUCCCUGCCUCCAGCACAGAGACAGCGAAGUGAAAGCAGGGCUCAAGAAGUGAAGAGGCCAUGAUAGCCCACACAUGGACCACAUUGACCACGUUAUUUUCUUUCCAUAAGCUAAAAGGGCAUCUCUGAAUUCUCAAAAAAAAAAAAAGAAAACAUGUUCAUAUUUUCAAAAUUCUUCUAAUAUUUUAAACUGAGGUUUUAAAAAGGGAUAAAGAGCUUUCUGACAGUUCAGGCAUCAUAGACUGAAUUGGAAGACUUAGCCUACGGGGCUUGACAUUUGACUAUCUGGGCAGCAAUAGAGCUUGCACCCAGAUGAGAAGAAAAUGACAUGGUGGUUCAAAUAUGUUUUAUAGUCCUCCCCGCAUUGUGUAUAUAGAUCUUGGAUGCUGUAAGAACAAGGAUCUCGAGGGUGCAUGAAGACAAAUAAAGUGAGCAACAGCCAGUGGCUUCCAGUUGGCUGGCCUGUUUCAACUCAGGAAAAUAAAGGCAUUGGUAACUGAUUUGUUCUCCUCCUCAAACAAAAUAUUCAGAGGAAGAGUUUAAAUGAUGAGGAUCUAGUGGUAAACCAUGCAAAUAAAAAUCCCUGCCAUGGAGAGAUUCAAUUUUAAGAAUGCCCUAGGGAUCCCUUUGGGUGGAGAAUUUAAUUGCAUUUUCAGUUUCAAUGUCCACACCAUGGCCAGCACUGAACAGAGAGGACAAUUUUUGCAGUGUUACAGAACUUUAAGUCUCCUGGCUGUUUAUAUUCACUGGCCCCAUCCAAGGUCCUGUGUGGUAUUCUCAAGGAUUUGGGGUGUAGCUGAGGGUGGAGCACUGGCCCAGUCAGGGAGCAGCAUCCACAUCCUCUGUCUGUGGGUAAGGUCAGUGGGUACCCCGCACCCCCUCCUGUGUGCCAACCUCCAGAUGCACCUGCCCUGUGUGAGGCCUCCCUAAGUACCUGCAAUCCAGAUGGCACCAAGGAGCAGGUUUGGAACAGGAUGCUUGCCGCACCACUCUCUGCAUAGGACCCUCCAGACUAAGGCUCAGUUACAGACACCUGUGUCUUUCUCCCCCUCCCACAACACCAGACUGGGUGCUGGAGCAGCUGCUGAGGCAAUGGCCACGGGGUCAGCUGGAGAGCAAAGGUCUGGAAGCCCUGGGACUUUCUCAUGAAGCACUUUUGGAGCAAGAUACUGCUUCAGCAGUAAGUGCUGAAGCUAAAGGAAUAUUUUUCACUCCAUCACCAGCAAAUAAACAACGUCUAUCUACACGACUAGAGAAAGACAAAAUGUCUUCCUCUGUACAGAGAAUGGUAUUUUAAAGUUCUUCACAUAUGAGGAAGGAAGAAAAAGGAUGAAGUAAAAAAAAUAAAUUUAUAAAAGUGGGUACAAGAG